AACGAACGCUGGCGGCAUGCCUAACACAUGCAAGUCGAACGAGACCUUCGGGUCUAGUGGCGCACGGGUGCGUAACGCGUGGGAACCUGCCCUUAGGUUCGGAAUAACUCCCCGAAAGGGGUGCUAAUACCGGAUAAUGUCUUCGGACCAAAGAUUUAUCGCCUUUGGAUGGGCCCGCGUUGGAUUAGCUAGUUGGUAGGGUAAAAGCCUACCAAGGCGACGAUCCAUAGCUGGUCUGAGAGGAUGAUCAGCCACACCGGGACUGAGACACGGCCCAGACUCCUACGGGAGGUAGCAGUGGGGAAUAUUGGACAAUGGGCGAAAGCCUGAUCCAGCAAUGCCGCGUGAGUGAUGAAGGCCUUAGGGUUGUAAAGCUCUUUUACCCGGGAUGAUAAUGACAGUACCGGGAGAAUAAGCUCCGGCUAACUCCGU
rnacentral:rRNA from 1 species